rnacentral:tRNA from 1 species
GGGAGUAUAGCUUAGGGGUAGAGUACUUGCCUAGCAUGCAUGAGGUCUUGGGUUCAAUUCCCAGCACUGCAA